rnacentral:rRNA from 1 species
AUUAGUAUGUCGUUAAGCCCUCCCGAGUAGUAGCAGUUUACACUCCAAACUCAAAGAAUUUGGCGGCGUCCCACCUUAUUAGAGGAACCUGCCCCGUAAUCGAUGGUCCACGCUUUCAGUAACCCUCUUUUAUAGCUUGUAUACCGCCGUUUAGGUUAUGCUAAAAAGCUUGUCCUCAAUUAAAUAUUUCAAUAAUUCAGGUCAAGGUGCAGCCUACGAGAGGGAGGCGGUGGGUUACAUUUGUUAAAUAAUUGGAAUGUCAGUCUAUAAUUGAUACCAAACUGGAUUUAAGAGUAAAUUUAUUAAAUUUAAUAAAUUGGAAUAGCC